UAUUUUUCCACUCUUAAUAAUGUUGUGGUUGUUGUUGCUUUUGAUGUUUUUUUUGUAGCUUUUAAUGUUUCGUUUUGUUUUUCGUUGUUGCGUUUGUUUGCACUUAAAAAAUUAUAUUAUAACGGCAUUGGUAAAGAGAGCUUAUUUUCAGUUGCCCUGAGAGCAUGAUACCGUGUGGUUUUCUGUGGAUUUUAUUUAUUCGUCUUUAAGAAGAAAAAAAAACAACAAUUUUUGUUUUUUUUUGCGUCACUUUAAUUUAUAUACUUACAACAAGAAAUCUACAUCUAUAUGUAUGUAUACUAACUAUAUACAUAGAUAUAUAUGUAUGUAGCGUACAUGCUUGUUCUUGUUGUACUACUAAAUAAUAAAAAUAUAUGUGAGACAAGCAAAAAAAAAAAUAAAUGAAAAAGCAAAAGCACCAGAAGAAAAAUUAAAGUAAAAGAAAAAAACAGUGUUUUUUCUCUCGUACGUUUUAAUAAGUUAAAUUUUAAAGCAAAACAACAACAACAAUGAGAAAAUAACAAAAAAUAUAUAUAAAACAUUUACACAAAAAAAAACAUAGCAGCACAAUUAGCAGAAAUAGCAGCAGCGACAGCAGCUGUCAAUAAAGCCGGUUGAAAAAACAAAAAA